CAGAACUUGAGAGAUGGAGGAGGGAAG
rnacentral:piRNA from 1 species